GGAUGACGUCAAGUCAUCAUGGCCCUUACGGCCAGGGCUACACACGUGCUACAAUGGUCGGUACAAAGGGUUGCCAAGCCGCGAGGUGGAGCUAAUCCCAUAAAACCGAUCGUAGUCCGGAUCGCAGUCUGCAACUCGACUGCGUGAAGUCGGAAUCGCUAGUAAUCGUGAAUCAGAAUGUCACGGUGAAUACGUUCCCGGGCCUUGUACACACCGCCCGUCACACCAUGGGAGUGGGUUGCUCCAGAAGUAGCUAGUCUAACCGCAAGGGGGACGGUUACCACGGAGUGAUUCAUGACUGGGGUGAAGUCGUAACAAGGUAGCCGU
rnacentral:rRNA from 1 species